CGGCUGUAAUGGUCACAAACCAAGAAGACCUCUACUUCCCAGAUCUCUUCACCCAUUGCGUCGCAAGACACUACCAGAGGUGCCCAGUUCGAACAUGGCGGUGGUUCCCCACUCGUGCAGGUAACUCACGAUGCUGUGGGAGCCUUAAGCAAUGAAGAUAAUUGUUUGAGGGAGGUUUCACUCUGCAGAACGAUCUUCACCGUGGUGUGGCGGUAUUGGAUUACACUUGCUGUGUGGUUUGGGUGUGGUGUUUGGGUUGAGCGUCAACCUUUUUUU
rnacentral:SRP_RNA from 1 species